AUACUUACCUGGCAGGGGAGAUACUAUGAUCACGAAGGUGGUUUUCCCAGGGCGAGGCUUAUCCAUUGCACUCCGGAUGUGCUGACCCCUGCGAUUUCCCCAAAUGCGGGAAACUCGACUGCAUAAUUCGUGGUAGUGGGGGACUGCGUUCGCGCUCUCCCCUG
ensembl:snRNA U1 U1 spliceosomal RNA